GAGUUUGAUCGUGGCUCAGGAUGAACGCUGGCGGCGUGCCUAACACAUGCAAGUCGAACGAAGCGGUUUGAAGGAAGUUUUCGGAUGGAAUUCAGACUGACUGAGUGGCGGACGGGUGAGUAACGCGUGGGUAACCUGCCCUUUACAGGGGGACAACAGUUAGAAAUGACUGCUAAUACCGCAUAAGCGCACAGCUUCGCAUGGAGCAGUGUGAAAAGCCGAGACGGUAAAGGAUGGACCCGCGUCUGAUUAGCUAGUUGGUGGGUAACGGCCUACCAAGGCGACGAU
rnacentral:rRNA from 1 species